rnacentral:rRNA from 1 species
AUUGAACGCUGGCGGCAUGCUUUACACAUGCAAGUCGAACGGCAGCGCGGGCUUCGGCCUGGCGGCGAGUGGCGAACGGGUGAGUAAUGCAUCGGAACGUGCCCAGUAGUGGGGGAUAGCCCGGCGAAAGCCGGAUUAAUACCGCAUACGACCUGAGGGUGAAAGCGGGGGACCGAAAGGCCUCGCGCUAUUGGAGCGGCCGACGUCGGCUUAGCUCGUUGGUGGGGUAAAGGCUUACCAAGGCGGCGAUCCGUAGCUGGUCUGAGAGGACGACCCGCCACACUGGGACUGAGACACGGCCCAGACUCCUGCGGGAGGCAGCAGUGGGGAAUUUUGGACAAUGGGGGCAACCCUGAUCCAGCCAUGCCGCGUGCGGGAAGAAGGCCUUCGGGUUGUAAACCGCUUUUGUUCGGGAAGAAAUCCUCUGGGCUAAUACCCCGGGGGGAUGACGGUACCGGAAGAAUAAGCACCGGCUAACUACGUG